rnacentral:rRNA from 1 species
UACGUAGGAGGCGAGCGUUAUCCGGAAUUACUGGGCGUAAAGAGCGUGUAGGCGGCCAGACAGGUCUGCUGUGAAAACUCGAGGCUCAACCUCGAGACGCCGGUGGAAACCGUCUGGCUAGAGUCCGGAAGAGGAGAGUGGAAUUCCUGGUGUAGCGGUGAAAUGCGCAGAUAUCAGGAAGAACACCCGUGGCUAAGGCGGCUCUCUAGUACGGUACUGACGCUGAGACGCGAAAGCGUGGGGAGCGAACAGG